UUUAAUACCUUUUGCAGCAUGGACCAGCGAUUAAAUGCCGGUAAUUAGCAAAGUUAAACU
rnacentral:rRNA from 1 species